CCUACGGGAGGCAGCAGUGAGGAAUAUUGGUCAAUGGACGAGAGUCUGAACCAGCCAAGUAGCGUGAAGGAUGACUGCCCUAUGGGUUGUAAACUUCUUUUAUAUGGGAAUAAAAUGUUCCACGUGUGGGAUUUUGUAUGUACCAUAUGAAUAAGGAUCGGCAAACUCCGUUCCAGGAGCCGCGGUAAUACGGAGGAUCCGAGCGUUAUCCGGAUUUAUUGGGUUUAAAGGGAGCGUAGGUGGAGUGUUAAGUCAGUUGUGAAAGUUUGCGGCUCAACCGUAAAAUUGCAGUUGAAACUGGCAGUUGUGAGUACAGUAGAGGUGGGCGGAAGUCGUGGUGUAGCGGUGAAAUGCUUAGAUAUCACGAAGAACUCCGAUUGCGAAGGCAGCUCACUGGACUGCAACUGACACUGAGGCUCGAAAGUGUGGGUAUCGAACAGGAUUAGAUACCGUGUAGUC
rnacentral:rRNA from 1 species